CCUACGGGUGGCAGCAGUGGGGGAUAUUGCACAAUGGGGGGAACCCUGAUGCAGCGACGCCGCGUGGGUGAAGAAGCGCCUCGGCGCGUAAAGCCCUGUCAGCAGGGAAGAAAAUGACGGUACUUGAGGAGGAAGCCCCGGCUAACUACGUGCCAGCAGCCGCGGUAAUACGUAGGGGGCUAGCGUUAUCCGGAAUUACUGGGCGUAAAGGGUGCGUAGGUGGUUUCUUAAGUCAGAGGUGAAAGGCUACGGCUCAACCGUAGUAAGCCUUUGAAACUGGGGAACUUGAGUGCAGGAGAGGAGAGUGGAAUUCCUAGUGUAGCGGUGAAAUGCGUAGAUAUCUGGAGGAACAUCAGUGGCGAAGGCGACUAUCUGGCACAUAACUGACGCUGAGGAGCGAAAGCGUGGGUAGCAAACAGGAUUAGAUACCCUUGUAGUC
rnacentral:rRNA from 1 species